AGCGAACGCUGGCGGCAGGCUUAACACAUGCAAGUCGAACGCUCGUAGCAAUACGGGAGUGGCAGACGGGUGGGUAACGCGUGGGAAUAUGCCUUUUGGUUCGGAAUAACUCAGGGAAACUUGAGCUAAUACCGGAUAAGCCCGUGAGGGGGAAGAUUUAUCGCCAAAAGAUUAGCCCGCGUCCGAUUAGCUAGUUGGUGAGGUAAUGGCUCACCAAGGCGACGAUCGGUAGCUGGUCUGAGAGGAUGAUCAGCCACAUUGGGACUGAGACACGGCCCAAACUCCUACGGGAGGCAGCAGUGGGGAAUAUUGGACAAUGGGCGCAAGCCUGAUCCAGCCAUGCCGCGUGAAUGAUGAAGGCCUUAGGGUUGUAAAGCUCUUUUGUCCGGGAAGAUAAUGACGGUACCGGAAGAAUAAGCCCCGGCUAACUUCGUGCCAGCCGCCGCCGUAA
rnacentral:rRNA from 1 species